AUUGAACGCUGGCGGUAUGCUUAACACAUGCAAGUCGAACGGCAACAGCAUAAGGGCGGCUGCUGACUGGUGGCCGGGUGCGUACUAGUUCGGAAUGCGUCUGAAUGUAGUGGAUCGUUACUCGUAAGAGUGGCUAAUAUACGCUAAUACCUCAGGCUGCAUACAGGGGAAAUCAGGGCAUCUUCCUACCUGAGCGGCUGAUGGCAGCCGAUGUCGGAUUAGGUAGUUGGCGGGGUAAAGGCCCACCAAGGCGACGAUCCGUAGCUGGUCUGAGAGGAUGAUCAGCCACACUGGAACUGAGACACGGCCCAGACUCCUACGGGAGGCAGCAGUGGGGAAUAUUGGACAAUGGGCGCAAGCCUGAUCCAGCAAUACCGCGUGGGGGAAGAAGGCCUUCGGGUUGUAAACCGCUUUUGUUGGGAACGAAAAGCCGCAGGUUAAUACAGGGCUGUCAUGACGGUACCGUAAGAAUAAGCACCGGCUAACUUCGUG
rnacentral:rRNA from 1 species